rnacentral:rRNA from 1 species
CCCUUAGAUGCUCUGGGCCGCACGCGCGCUACACUGGUCGAUGCAACGAGUUUCUUUCCUUGGCCGACAGGCCUGGGCAAUCUUUGAACAUCGAUCGUGAUCGGGAUAGAUUCUUGUAAUUUUUGAUCUUAAACGAGGAAUUCCUAGUAAACGCGAGUCAUCAGCUCGCAUUGAUUACGUCCCUGCCCUUUGUACACACCGCCCGUCGCACCUACCGAUUGAAUGUUUCGGUGAAGAUUCCGGAUAGGACUUUUUUGAUUUAUUUCAAUUCUGUCUUAAAAGCUAUCUAAACCUCAACAUUUAGAGGAAGGUGAAGUCGUAACA